rnacentral:rRNA from 1 species
GAUGAACGCUAGCGGCAGGCUUAAUACAUGCAAGUCGAACGGUAACAGGUCCUGGAUGCUGACGAGUGGCGCACGGUGGAGUAACGCGUACACAAUCUGCCUUCAUCAGGGGGAAAGGUCACUGGAAACGGUGAAUAAUCCCGCAUACAACUCUUAGAUGGCAUCAUCAAAAGAGUAAAGUUCCGGCGGAUGAAGAUGAGUGUGCGUCUGAUUAGCUAGAUGGUGAGGUAACGGC